GAUGACGGUGGUGCUUGCACCGCCUGAUUAGUGGCGAACGGGUGAGUAACACGUGAGUAACCUGCCCUCCACUUCGGGAUAACCUCGGGAAAUCGUGGCUAAUACCGGAUAUGAGCACUCAUCGCAUGGUGGGUGUUGGAAAGAUUUAUCGGUGGGGGAUGGACUCGCGGCCUAUCAGUUUGUUGGUGAGGUGAUGGCUCACCAAGACGAUGACGGGUAGCCGGCCUGAGAGGGCGACCGGCCACACUGGGACUGAGACACGGCCCAGACUCCUACGGGAGGCAGCAGUGGGGAAUAUUGCACAAUGGGCGAAAGCCUGAUGCAGCGACGCCGCGUGGGGGAUGACGGCCUUCGGGUUGUAAACCCCUUUCAGUAGGGAAGAAGCGAGAGUGACGGUACCUGCAGAAGAAGCGCCGGCUAACUACGUGCCAGCAGCCGCGGUAAUACGUAGGGCGCAAGCGUUGUCCGGAAUUAUUGGGCGUAAAGAGCUUGUAGGUGGCUUGUCGCGUCUGCCGUGAAAACCCGAGGCUCAACCUCGGGCGUGCGGUGGGUACGGGCAGGCUAGAGUGUGGUAGGGGAGACUGGAACUCCUGGUGUAGCGGUGAAAUGCGCAGAUAUCAGGAAGAACACCGAUGGCGAAGGCAGGUCUCUGGGCCAUUACUGACACUGAGAAGCGAAAGCAUGGGUAGCGAACAGGAUUAGAUACCCUGGUAGUCCAUGCCGUAAACGUUGGGCACUAGGUGUGGGGGACAUUCCACGUUUUCCGCGCCGUAGCUAACGCAUUAAGUGCCCCGCCUGGGGAG
rnacentral:rRNA from 1 species